UCGCCUCCGAAUUCAAACUCUCCGAUUAGCCAUCUCGGAGAAGGUAUUUGAUACCUCUUCAAUUUCAAUGGAAGCGAACGGCGAAUCACAGUUCCUUGUUCAGCGAUGUUGGAUUAUGGAGUGUGAAGUUUGCAGUUAUGAUGAUUGAAGUUUGCGAUGCCGUGGUGAAGAGUGGAGAUUGAAUCGAUGAUGAUGAAUGUCGUUGUUGUUGUUUGUUGCGAAUCUGAUAUUGGAGGUUUCUUUGCAAGCUCUUUGAUAUGAUGAUGAGGAAGCUCGCGAUGACAAAUUCUGCAGAUGCGUGAAGGUGCUGAGAUGCGAUAUGAAGAUGAUAACGAACAGUUGCGUAGAUUGAUGAGGUUGUUGGAGACUGAAGAAGAGUUAUCGGAGAAGAAUUGAUAUCGGGAUUUUUGUGAUAAAGAUGAAGAAAAAUGGAAGUAAAUUGAAGAUGGAGAUGAUUUCAGAAUGUGGAGAGGAUUCAAGGUUAUUGAAGGUUCAGGAUGAAGAUGACUGUUGAAUUGAUGAAGGUGAAGUGAUGAAGAAGAUCGAAAGAGAAUGAAGAUUGAGUGGGAAUUGUGAUGAAGAAGAUGAGAGAAAGAUGAUGAAGAUGCAUCGUGAAUUCAGUUACGAUUUCUGUUAUGAGGUUCGGUUUUCCUUGGUUUUAAUUAUGCAGGUUUUCACAUGAUGGAAGUAUAAGAGAUGUGGCUCCUGGAACUGUAAUGAAACGAUUUUUCUUUUGAUGUAAUAUGGAUAUUGGAUGAUGUAAUAGUAAUGGAAUCUGUAAUGUAUUUGGGCCUUGAAUGGACUUUGUAUGGAUAUGAUAUGGAUUUAUUUUGUAAUGUAUGGACUUGAACAUGUAGAAAUUAUAUUUUUGUAUCUUGUAAUGGACAUGUUUUUGAAACUUGAAUCUUGAAACUUGUGUAUUGAAAAACAUAUGAAUAAAUCUUCCACUUUAGCAAGCUCAAAUUAAUUCUUGGUAAAUCACAUGCUUGAAAAUUAAGAU